rnacentral:pre_miRNA from 1 species
GAUAUACUCCCUCCGUUCGGAAUUACUUGUCUCGAAUAUGGAUGUAUCUAGAACUAAAAUACAUCUAGAUACAUCCAUUUCUGCGACAAGUAAUUCCGAACGGAGGGAGUAUUUA